ACGGGUAUAGUUUAGUGGUAGAACAUGGGUCUCCAAAACCUAGAGUGUGGGUUCGAUUCCUACUACCCGUGCCA
rnacentral:tRNA from 1 species